rnacentral:rRNA from 1 species
UACAGAGGUCUCAAGCGUUGUUCGGAUUCAUUGGGCGUAAAGGGUGCGUAGGCGGCGAGGCAAGUCAGGUGUGAAAUCUCGGGGCUCAACUCCGAAACUGCACUUGAUACUGCCUUGCUCGAGUACUGGAGAGGAGAUUGGAAUUUACGGUGUAGCAGUGAAAUGCGUAGAUAUCGUAAGGAAGACCAGUGGCGAAGGCGAAUCUCUGGACAGUUACUGACACUGAGGCACGAAGGCCAGGGGAGCAAACGGG